UACGUAGGUGGCAAGCGUUGUCCGGAAUUAUUGGGCGUAAAGGGCGCGUAGGCGGCACUCUAAGUCAGAUGUGAAAUCCCGGGGCUUAACUCCGGACGUGCAUUUGAAACUGGAGAGCUCGAGUGCAGGAGAGGUAAGUGGAAUUCCUAGUGUAGCGGUGAAAUGCGUAGAUAUUAGGAGGAACACCAGUGGCGAAGGCGACUUACUGGACUGUAACUGACGCUGAGGCGCGAAAGCGUGGGGAGCAAACAGG
rnacentral:rRNA from 1 species